CAGCAGGGCACAGCUGGAAGGCACCUGGGUCCUGCAAAAACAUCUGGGGGCCAUUUUGUCAUUGAACAGCUGUGCUGGGAGGUGUGCCGGAGAGAUCCGCCUCUGAGCACCUUUUAGACUAGCGUCUGUGCUGGGAUGGAUCAUCAGAAACUCACCGUUAGGCAGGAACAUGCAAAUGCGAAGACUGGAUGGAAGCACACAGACCACGUGUUGCAAAACUGUAGUCUGGUUCCUCGGCUUCUGACAAGCAGGCAGAAAAAAGAACAAGUGGGGAAAAUCCUUGUAUUCACUACCUUGCAGCAAGCCUUUUGUGUGUGGAGAGCGAGCACCGUUGCGCUGAAAGUGCUGGUAUUGAUGAAGGGUUUGGGAUGGGUUUGGGGCUGGGACUCAGCUGCCUGGUGGCAGAAAGCUGGCCAGGAAGGAGACCCACAGUUAUGGUGGGCAGGGAACUGGAUGUGAGGUUUAACAAAACAGGUCAGUGUCACCUGGAGACUUUGUGUGCAAGGGAAUCUCCCUCUAUGAGUGAGAAAGCAUGACCCAUCCCUGCUCUGUACAUUGUGUACUGAAUAAGGCUCUCCAUGACACUUUCACACCACUUGACAACACGAAAAGUGAUUUUAAAAGAGAGAGAACAGCCUUUCCAGAGAGCCCUCCUCAUCUGCUCAGGAAUGGUCAAAGGACCCACACAAGCUCUGCCCUGGUGAAGGGGGCAGGGAUUGAAUUGGAGCCCAGCAUAAAUUGCUCUUCAGUUAGCAUGGUCCCCCAGGCUCAGGGUGACUUUUGGGAAGAUGACAGCCAUCAUGCUGUCCAUCUCAGUGGGAUGCUCCCCACAGCCCUGCAGUAGAGGAGCCACUGUAAUGAUUUGUUCUCCCCUUUUAAGAACCAAACACUGCAUACGUCCCAGCUGGCAAAGACAAACUAGAUCAUUAAGACAAUUGAAACUGUGUGGGUACAGAGAAACAAAUGAAAAAAUGAGUCUGAGAUGCAUUCACAUUUUGCACAUUUAAUGGGAUAAACCCCCAAGCCUAUAAUAUUAAAUCAGAAUGUCAAAGAGAGAGCUUAUGUUAAUUUAAUUAAAGACAGCAUCCUGGUGCACAUGGAUAAGGAGCAGAAUUAAUAUUGUGCACCACCCACUAAUUUUGCCUGCCAUGGGUUGUACAUAGCCUGGAUGUCCUGAUGUGCUCACAGCUCUGUUAAUCUGGACAGGGUGAGUAUCCCCCUGCCACUCUGCCAAAACUGGGCAGGGUUGAAUUUUAUUCUUCUCCUUUCCAAACCUGUCAAACUGUGCGUGAAUAUUACCAAUGGCACAAACCUAAGCACUAAUUCAUCUGUCUGUGCUGGAGAGGUGGGAGUCCUUGCCUGCCUUCACUUCCAGUGGGGCAAAAGAGAGGAAUUCCUCAAAGAUGCCUGGCAGUGAGUGGUAUGGACAUCCCUCUACCCUUUGUGCAUCUUCAGUCCU
rnacentral:lncRNA from 1 species